UGAAUUGACGGGGGCCCGCACAAGCGGUGGAGCAUGUGGUUUAAUUCGAUGCAACGCGAAGAACCUUACCUACUCUUGACAUCCAGAGAACUUUCCAGAGAUGGAUUGGUGCCUUCGGGAACUCUGAGACAGGUGCUGCAUGGCUGUCGUCAGCUCGUGUUGUGAAAUGUUGGGUUAAGUCCCGCAACGAGCGCAACCCUUAUCCUUUGUUGCCAGCGGUUCGGCCGGGAACUCAAAGGAGACUGCCAGUGAUAAACUGGAGGAAGGUGGGGAUGACGUCAAGUCAUCAUGGCCCUUACGAGUAGGGCUACACACGUGCUACAAUGGCAUAUACAAAGAGAAGCGACCUCGCGAGAGCAAGCGGACCUCAUAAAGUAUGUCGUAGUCCGGAUUGGAGUCUGCAACUCGACUCCACGAAGUCGGAAUCGCUAGUAAUCGUGGAUCAGAAUGCUACGGUGAAUACGUUCCCGGGCCUUGUACACACCGCCCGUCACACCAUGGGAGUGGGUUGCAAAAGAAGUAGGUAGCUUAACCUUCGGGAGGGCGCUUACCACUUUGUGAUUCAUGACUGGGGUG
rnacentral:rRNA from 1 species